UAAUGUCUGGGAAACUGCCUGAUGAGGGGGGAUAACUACUGGAAACGGUAGCUAAUACCGCAUAAUGUCGCAAGACCAAAGUGGGGGACCUUCGGGGCCUCAUGCCAUCAGAUGUGCCCAGAUGGGAUUAGCUAGUAGGUGGGGUAACGGCUCACCUAGGCGACGAUCCCUAGCUGGUCUGAGAGGAUGACCAGCCACACUGGAACUGAGACACGGUCCAG
rnacentral:rRNA from 1 species